CACGUAGGGCGCAAGCGUUGUCCGGAAUUAUUGGGCGUAAAGAGCUCGUAGGCGGUCUGUUGCGUCCGCUGUGAAAACCCGGGGCUUAACCCCUGGCUUGCAGUGGAUACGGACAGACUAGAGGUAGGUAGGGGAGAAUGGAAUUCCCGGUGUAGCGGUGAAAUGCGCAGAUAUCGGGAGGAACACCGGUGGCGAAGGCGGUUCUCUGGGCCUUACCUGACGCUGAGACGCGAAAGCCGUGGGGAGCGAACCGG
rnacentral:rRNA from 1 species